rnacentral:rRNA from 1 species
AGAGUUUGAUUAUGGCUCAGGAUGAACGCUAGCUACAGGCUUAACACAUGCAAGUCGAGGGGCAGCAUGAUCAAAGCUUGCUUUGAUUGAUGGCGACCGGCGCACGGGUGAGUAACGCGUAUCCAACCUUCCCUAUAGUAGUGGAUAGCCCGGCGAAAGUCGGAUUAAUACACUAUGUUGUAUUUAGAGGACAUCUGAAGAAUACCAAAGGCUUGCCGCUAUAGGAUGGGGAUGCGUCUGAUUAGAUAGUAGGCGGGGUAACGGCCCACCUAGUCGACGAUCAGUAGGGGUUCUGAGAGGAAGGUCCCCCACAUUGGAACUGAGACACGGUCCAAACUCCUACGGGAGGCAGCAGUGAGGAAUAUUGGUCAAUGGACGGGAGUCUGAACCAGCCAAGUAGCCGUGCAGGAUGACGGCCCUAUGGGUUGUAAACUGCUUUUAUACGGGGAUAAAGUGAGCCACGUGUGGCUUUUUGUAGGUACCGUAUGAAUAAGGACCGGCUAAUUCCGUGCCAGCCGCCGC